rnacentral:tRNA from 1 species
GGUGGCUCAGUGGAAGAGUGCUUGCCUUGCAUGCAUGAGGUCCUGGGUUCGAUUCCUCAGCACCA